UCAGGUGGCGACAGCGGCGGGGUUCCACCUCUUCCCAUUCCGAACAGAGAAGUUAAGCCCGCUUGCGCCGAUGGUACUGCAAUGCAAUGUG
rnacentral:rRNA from 1 species